GUGCGGCAGAUGAUGAAUCUAAUGUGUAAUGGGUAAUUUGCGACUGAUUUGUUGGGAUGCUAAACUCACCUUGGAGAACUGAUGCUCACA